rnacentral:rRNA from 1 species
GACGAACGCUGGCGGCGUGCUUAACACAUGCAAGUCGAACGGUAAGGCCCUUCGGGGUACACGAGUGGCGAACGGGUGAGUAACACGUGGGUGAUCUGCCCUGCACUUCGGGAUAAGCCUGGGAAACUGGGUCUAAUACCGGAUAGGACUCCUGGCUUCAUGGUUGGGGGUGGAAAGCCUUUGCGGUGUGGGAUGGGCCCGCGGCCUAUCAGCUUGUUGGUGGGGUAAUGGCCUACCAAGGCGACGACGGGUAGCCGGCCUGAGAGGGUGACCGGCCACACUGGGACUGGGAUACGGCCCAGACUCCUACGGGAGGCAGCAGUGGGGAAUAUUGCACAAUGGGCGCAAGCCCGAUGCAGCGACGCCGCAUGAGGGAUGACGGCCUUCGGGUUGUAAACCUCUUUCAGUAGGGACGAAGCGCAAGUGACGGUACCUACAGAAGAAGGACCGGCCAACUACGUGCCAGCCGCCGCAGUAA